rnacentral:rRNA from 1 species
CUUAACGCAUGCAAGUCGAGCGAUGAGGCUCCCUUCGGGGGGUACAUCAGCGGCAGACGGGUGAGUAACACGUAUGUAACCUGCCCUCAAGACGGGGAUAACGCCUGGAAACGGGCGCUAAUACCGGAUGACCUUAGUUGGGGAAGCACCGGCUAAGGAAAGGCAAUAGCGCUUGAGGAGGGGCCUGCGGCCCAUCAGUUACUUGGUAGGGUAACGGCCUACCAAGGCGAAGACGGGUACGGGGUGUGAGAGCACGGUCCCCCACACUGGGACUGAGACACGGCCCAGACUCCUACGGGAGGCAGCAGCGGGGAAUAUUGCGCAAUGGACGGAAGUCAGACGCAGCGACGCCGCGUGGGCGAAGAAGGCCUUCGGGUAGUAAAGCCCUUUUCUGUGGGAAGAGGAAGGACGGUACCAUAGGAAUAAGCGUCGGCUAACUACGUGCCAGCAGCCGCGGUAAGACGUAGGACGCGAGCGUUAUCCGGAUUUACUGGGCGUAAAGCGUGUGUAGGCGGCGUGACAAGUUGGGCGUGAAAGCCCCGUGCUCAACGCGGGGAGGCCGCACAAUACUGUCAGGCUAGAGGGCAUCAGAGGGGUGUGGAAUUCCCGGAGUAGCGGUAAAAUGCGCAGAUAUCGGGAGGAACACCGGUGGCGAAAGCGGCACCCUGGGGUGCACCUGACGCUGAGAGACGACAGCUAGGGGAGCGAACAGGAUUAGAGACCCUGGUAGUCCUAGCCGUAAACGAUGGAUGCUAGGUGUGGGAGUGAAGAACUUCUGUGCCGCAGCGAACGCGAUAAGCAUCCCGCCUGGGGAGUACGGCCGCAAGGUUAAAACUCAAACGAAUUGACGGGGACCCGCACAAGCAGCGGAGCGUGUGGUUUAAUUCGAUGCUACACGAAGAACCUUACCUGGGAUUGACAUAUGGGUGGUAGUGAGCCGAAAGGCAAGCGACCCUUCGGGGAGCCUAUACAGGUGCUGCAUGGCUGUCGUCAGCUCGUGCCGUGAGGUGUCGGGUUAAGUCCCGUAACGAGCGCAACCCCUGUCCUUAGUUACAAGUGUCUAAGGGGACUGCCGGCGGGAAGCCGGAGGAAGGUGGGGAUGACGUCAAGUCAGCAUGGCCCUUAUAUCCAGGGCGACACACACGCUACAAUGGUCGGUAC